AGAGUACUCUGUUCCAAAAUUCUUGUCUUGAAUUUAUUUAUAUAUGAAUGUAUUUAGUCAAGUUUUAGUAUUUAGAUACAUUUAUUUUUAAACAAAGGUAAGACAAGAAUUUUAGGACGAAGAGAGUAUUAG
rnacentral:pre_miRNA from 1 species